AUUGAACGCUGGCGGCAGGCUUAACACAUGCAAGUCGAGCGAGUGGCGGACGGGUGAGUAAUGCUUGGGAAUCUACCUUAUGGAGGGGGAUAACUACUGGAAACUGUAGCUAAUACCGCGUACCAUCAGAUGAACCCAUAUGGGAUUAGGUAGUGGGUGAGGUAACGGCUCACCAAGGCGACGAUCCCUAGCUGGUCUGAGAGGAUGACCAGCCACACUGGGACUGAGACACGGCCCAGACUCCUACGGGAGGCAGCAGUGGGGAAUAUUGCACAAUGGGCGCAAGCCUGAUGCAGCCAUGCCGCGUGUAUGAAGAAGGCCUGCGGGUUGUAAAGUACUUUCAGUCGGGAGGCGUUACCGACAGAAGAAGCACCGGCUAACUCCGUGCCAGCAGCCGCGGUAAUAC
rnacentral:rRNA from 1 species